CCUACGGGCGGCAGCAGUGAGGAAUAUUGGUCAAUGGACGAGAGUCUGAACCAGCCAAGUAGCGUGAAGGAUGACUGCCCUAUGGGUUGUAAACUUCUUUUAUAUGGGAAUAAAAUGUUCCACGUGUGGGAUUUUGUAUGUACCAUAUGAAUAAGGAUCGGCUAACUCCGUGCCAGCAGCCGCGGUAAUACGGAGGAUCCGAGCGUUAUCCGGAUUUAUUGGGUUUAACGGGGGCGUAGGUGGAUUGUUAAGUCAGUUGUGAAAGUUUGCGGCUCAACCGUAAAAUUGCAGUUGAAACUGGCAGUCUUGAGUACAGUAGAGGUGGGCGGAAUUCGUGGUGUAGCGGUGAAAUGCUUAGAUAUCACGAAGAACUCCGAUUGCGAAGGCAGUUCACUGGACUGCAACUGACACUGAGGCUCGAAAGUGUGGGUAUCAAACAGGAUUAGAUACCCUGGUAGUC
rnacentral:rRNA from 1 species